CGAUGAAACUUUAACAGAACCCUUCGGGGCGAAGAUAAAGUGGAUUAGCGGCGGACGGGUGAGUAACACGUGAGUAACCUGCCUUAGACAUUGGGAUAGCCUCGGGAAACCGGGAUUAAUACCAAAUAAAAUCAUAAUGACACAUGUCAUAACGAUCAAAACUCCGGUGGUCUAAGAUGGACUCGCGUCCCAUUAGCUAGUUGGUAGAGUAAAAGCCUACCAAGGCGACGAUGGGUAGCCGGCCUGAGAGGGUGAACGGCCACAUUGGAACUGAGAAACGGUCCAAACUCCUACGGGAGGCAGCAGUGGGGAAUAUUGCACAAUGGAGGGAACUCUGAUGCAGCGACGCCGCGUGAACGAAGAAGGCUUUCGAGUCGUAAAGUUCUUUUAUAUGGGAAGAUAAUGACGGUACCAUAAGAAAAAGCCCCGGCUAACUACGUGCCAGCAGCCGCGGUAAUACGUAGGGGGCUAGCGUUGUCCGGAAUCACUGGGCGUAAAGGGUUCGCAGGCGGAAAUGCAAGUCAGAUGUAAAAGGCAGUAGCUUAACUACUGUAAGCAUUUGAAACUGCAUAUCUUGAGAAGAGUAGAGGUAAGUGGAAUUUUUAGUGUAGCGGUGAAAUGCGUAGAUAUUAAAAAGAAUACCGGUGGCGAAGGCGACUUACUGGGCUCAUUCUGACGCU
rnacentral:rRNA from 2 species